AAGAAACCUAUAAAGAAAAUGAAAAGUUUAAUUAAAGGAAACAGAGAAAGAGGCUAAAGAAAGACUUGCCACAUCACCAUAGAGAAGUCUGAAGCUUCUUUAAGGAGGAUGUAGUAGAGAAUAUUGUAAGCGACAAUCAAGAACAACUAGGUUCUACAAUUUUUUGUAACAUCAGUUGACAGAGAUACAGCAAGAGACAAUUGAACAGAUUUUGUUGAAAAAAAUACAAAAUUUUUUGUUGGAAGGCAGCGACUGAACAAACAUGACUUUAAAAAGAUAUCAGAGAAUGGCAUGCUUAAUAACUCAAUAAUCAAUGUAUUCCAAAUUCUGAUGCUGAAGGAACACCCUGAGUCAAAUGAUUUACAAGACCCUUUUCUUGGGCAAAACAUGUUUUUUACUGUACACCACGACAAACCUUUUGUUCAAAUCCUCUAUGAUGGAAAACUACAUUGGAUUGCUGUUUCAACAUAUGUAUGUGGGCCUGGGAAGGUCUUCUACUUUGACCGUUUGUGUUCUCUGGUAGAAUAUCUGAAAAAGUUAAUCAACUAUUAGGUGCAGUCAUGCAUUCUUCAAGGUCAAUUUUGAAAAUAAAUGUUGUCCCAGUUCAACAGCAAUCAAAUAGAGUGGGCUGUGAUGCAAAUGCCAUUGCCUUUACAAAUUAUGUUCUAAAGGAAAAGAGAAAUCCCACUGAGGUGACAUUUGACCAAGAGACAAUGAAGGUCCUUAGCAGCAAAAACAAAGCUUUCCUUUCCGACAACAACAAGAACUGUAAGAAGAUGCUGCACAAAAACGAUUUCAUUUGACGUAUAUUGUUCUUGUAUAAUGCGCUGGGUACCAUUCCACAACAACAUUUUUGAAAGGUAAAUUAAUUACACAUUUACUCGCAAUCAUUCAAUUUUAUAAACUUUUCAAUUUCCUCUCUAAGAUAUUAAAAUGUCUUAUUUUAGAUGUGUAUUUGAAUUCGUGAAUGCAAAAAUAAAAUUAUGUUGAACUUGCUUUAUUUCAACAAAGAUAUUCUGUUGCCUUUAGAGAAAUAUUAAGCAGUUCCAUAAAAAUUGCUAAAAAUAUUUUUUAAAAAUUGUUUUGCAUUUUACACACAUUUGAAAGGUAAUUAAGGAAUCUAACUUUUCACCAAAAGUUCAGCUUUUCAAAAACUUCAAAAACUUCAGAAACAGAGGCUUAUGAAGUUCUUCUAUUUUACUGUGGAAGGAAAUUGCUUCGAAAUUGGGUUGGAGAUGAAAAUUCGGCCAUAGUAAGUAUUCUUCAUUUCAAAAAGAUAUUCUUUUACCUUAACUCUUAUCCAUCGUGUUUGAUUGAGUGUUGUUGAUAUCAAAGUCAAAUGAAUUAAAUCCUAUUUUUCUUAUUUGAAAUUAUACAAUUUGAAAAGCUAACCUUAAAUCAUAUUUCUUCCAGAUUUUAGCAUAUUUGGUUGGCGGCCAAGAGUUAAUAACUCCUGUACGUGCAUGGGAAAUUCUUGUAAGCUGCGUAUGUUUUUUAAGAUAAAAUAAAACGAUAUAUUAGCUUGAAAUUAAUAUUUAUGGGGAAAAUACAGAACAAAAAUCUAUAUGUUAACAAUGUAAAGAAGAAAAAGGAGCUCUUGUGUGCAUUUGUAAUUGACAAUUUUUAUCAAUAUUUUUUACAUCAAUAGUGGUUACCCUUGAUUGGCCUACCUAGUGCUUUUUCCCGCCAGCCUCAAAGAAAAUAAUUAUUGUUAUUAUUAUUAUUGAUCAAAUAAGGAUUUGUAACGUUUUUUGUUAGUAUGAUGACCAGGUCUUUUUCUGUUAACUGCUUAUUUUCUUAAAUAAGAUGGAGUUAUCUGAAAUACAGCUUUCUACCGUUUUAGGAAAAAACAUCGCAUUUGCAUCAAGAUCCUUAAGUGGAACUUCUAUAAAUCUAUCAGGUAAUGUGUUUCUAAAAUAUUGUUUGUCUUGGUAUAGAAAAUUCAAUUUGAGCAUUAUGAGCACUGGAUUUAAGAGAAAUCAGGCUCAACUAGUUUUUAUAUUCAAAAGAUAGGAACGAGGCUGUAGAUGUGUUCAACAGCAAAUGCUUGCAAAAAAACACGAAAUCUAACUAAUACUAAUAUGCCAAUAUGCAAAUGAGCCUGAACAAAAGACCUCCACACUGCCCCGCGAUUGUACCACCGCCCGGCGUUGCACACGGUGCCCAGCCAAAACUGCUUGGCCGAUUUUCAAAAUUCUUUUUUUCCCUUCAUCAACGAAUCUUUGGUUCACCAUACUACGGUCUCCUUUUUCUCCUUUUCGCUUCCGUUCCUGAGAUAUUUACGUUUUUCUCCCGGGUUCGUCUCGAUCCCCAACGCCCCGCGAUUGUACGGGUUUGCAGCCAAAACCGCUCGGCCGAUUUUCAAAGUUCUUUUUUCUUCUGAAUCCUCCAUCCCGAUGCACCAUCAUCAGGUCUGCUUUUUCUCAUCGUUCUUUUCGUUUCUCAGAUAUUUACACGGUUUUCUCUGAGGAUGCAAGAUCUCGAUUAGUGCUCUCCGUGGUCUUUGUCCCGCGUUUCUAAAGGUUCUUUCUCUCUUUUCUGUUGCUCUCUACUACAAAAGAUUUCAAAUCUUCUUCCUCCAGCAACCCUUCAAUUUGAACGGAGGCUUUUCAAAUCUGUUUCGUUUUUAAGACAAAGAAUCUACUGUCUGCCGAUAAUUUCGGUGAUUUGGAUAAAUCUACGUGCACUGCUGCUUGGCAUUCCUUUUCGAACUCGAAGCGGUUGUCGACGGUUGCGUUCUGUGCUACGGUGCUACAGUGCUACCAUGCUACAGCUACAGCUACAGUAGCUACGUACGGUACGCACACUGCUGCCCGUUUUUUGGUUUUGCGAUGGCUGCUGGCUGUUCUUCUUCUUCACUAGCAUCAGAAUCGAUGGCAUGCGAAUACAAAUCAAAGAUCGUUUCAAGCAAUAAUUAUGACGCAGACAUGAUUCUCGGACCUUCGAAACGAAAUUGAUGGCAUUUAUGCUGGCGUUAAUUCAAACGAUGAAACAAGAAAAGACUUUACUGUGAAGAAACGGACUAAAGUUAUAUAGAUCAGCUGUUGUCCGUAAAUUGUAUUUUGUUAAUUUGUUGUUAGAGUAAGAUUCCUUUCUGAUGCACGAAACUUUGGCUGUUUUUUAUCUUUCUAUUUCUUAACUGCUUUGUUGCUGCAGUGUUGCAAAAGCUAAUUGUGACGAAGAUGUGAUAUGUGGACCUCAAAUGUAUAGAACUGCGUAAUAAUUCUGUACCUCUUUAGAAGAGGAGUCACUAAUUUUUUUAUGAAUCAACAUAAUUUUUUUAGGAAUUUUGAUUGUUAAGAAAGUUUUAGAUGAUAUAUAUUUAAACGAGCACCAUGGACCAAUAACUGCUAACAGGAAUUUAUUGUUGGAAAAACUUUAAUGUUUGAUUCAAAAUAAACAGAGGAACUUUAAAGGUGGCCCGAAGUUAUAUCUUAAAACAACAUCACAAGUGAACAAGAAUUGAACAAAAUGUUAUGAUAAAAAUAUUCAUGUUGGAUUCAAAAUGAACAUUAGAGCUUUAAGAAUGGCCUUAGAAAAAAAUUAUAAGCGCCCUAUAAGUCGAUGAGGGCCAAGAGUGUAUGAUUGGAAAACUUAAAAAUUUGAUUCUGACUAAAUAGGAGAAAUUAUAGGAUAAACCCAUGAAAAUUUUGUCCUUCAAGGAAAAUUGAUUUGCUGUAUUCGUCGCUUAACAAGACCAUAUUCAAAUGGUUUUAUGCUUAAUUUGAUGAAAUUACACUAAAAACCGGAGAAUGUUUACCUAAAGUUGUUUUGGAUUUGUUUACAUCGGGGGGCAAUUCGCUCUUGCAAGUAACGUGCGAGAUUUUGCCUAAAACAAAAGGAUUUCUUGGGAUUAUCAGAUAAACCAAUAGGAUUUUCACAAAAGGGGUAAUGAUGGACCGACUGAAAGUUGCUAACACUUAGGGGGUUAAAUCAGCAAAUUACCUGCUUUAAAUACCAGAUAAUGUAUAUUUCGAGAUGAAAAAUGGAUUGAUAGGUACAAGGGGCCAACUGAAAUUUGCUGACAGAAAGUUAUAAGCCAAUUUGGAAUAAAGAACGCACUUAAAGGGUAAAUCUGCCAUUACCAGCCUUAAAGGAAGGUAAAGCCAGAUAAUGUUUAUUGCGAAAUGAAAAAUGAAUUGAUAGGUACAAGGGGCCAACUGAAAUUUGCUGACAGAAAGUUAUAAGCCAAUUUUGAAUAAAGAACGCACUUAGGGGGUAAAUCUGCCCAUUACCAGAAUGUAUAUUGCGUCCUUGAUCUUGCAUGAUCGCCAUGAAAGCUAUGAUACUGCUAAUGGUAAUUGGAUUGAUUCUGCUAAGAAUUUCCCAAGUAUUGAUAGUCAACAGGUAAUCAAUUUCGGGUUUACUUUUCUAGAAGGAUUUACAAAAUUACAGUGAAGGUAAUAAAACAUUAUCUUCC